rnacentral:rRNA from 1 species
UCGCGCCUACGGGACGCAGCAGCGGGGAAUAUUGCACAAUGGGGGAAACCCUGAUGCAGCGACGCCGCGUGAGUGAAGAAGUAUUUCGGUACGUAAAGCUCUAUCAGCAGGGAAGAAGAAAGACGGUACCUGACUAAGAAGCCCCGGCUAACUACGUGCCAGCAGCCGCGGUAAUACGUAGGGGGCAAGCGUUAUCCGGAUUUACUGGGUGUAAAGGGAGCGUAGACGGCUGUGCAAGUCUGAAGUGAAAGCCCAGGGCUCAACCCUGGGACUGCUUUGGAAACUGUAGAGCUAGAGUGCUGGAG